rnacentral:rRNA from 1 species
GAUGAACGCUGGCGGCGUGCCUAAUACAUGCAAGUCGAGCGAAUGGAUUAAGAGCUUGCUCUUAUGAAGUUAGCGGCGGACGGGUGAGUAACACGUGGGUAACCUGCCCAUAAGACUGGGAUAACUCCGGGAAACCGGGGCUAAUACCGGAUAACAUUUUGAACCGCAUGGUUCGAAAUUGAAAGGCGGCUCCGGCUGUCACUUAUGGAUGGACCCGCGCCGCAUUAGCUAGUUGGUGAGGUAACGGCUCACCAAGGCAAAGAUGCGUAGCCGACCUGAGAGGGUGAUCGGCCACACUGGGACUGAGACACUGCCCAGACGCCUGCGGGAGGCAGCAGUAGGGAGUCUUCCGCAAUGGACGAAAGUCUGACGGAGCAACGCCGCGUGAGUGAUGAAGGCUUUCGGGUCGUAAAACGCUGUUGUUAGGGAAGAACAAGUGCUAGUUGAAUAAGCUGGAACCUUGACGGUACCUAACCAGAAAGCCACGGCUAACUACGUGCCAGCAGCCGCCGUAA